UCUAAAAUGGCAGAGAAGUGCAAUGGAUUUAAGCUCCAUAUAUGAAGGAUACUCCUUCUUUUAGAA
rnacentral:tRNA from 1 species